AUCUGAGCUUUGGCUCAACUAUAUAUAAAUAAAAGAGUUCUGGAACUAAAAUUUUUGUUUGAUCAUUUAUCGCGCUACACCGCACAACGUAAGAGCUAUCGGACUUUACCAUUAUUACAUACCGUUAUCACAUUUGUCAGAUUAACACAUCGGCUACAUUUGCACCGAAUUGGGUUCAAGGUGUUUUCUUUAUACGAAGACUACUUUUUGAAUUGAAGCACCCAACUCAGACAUUUUAAGGCAUUCUAUUUGAAUAAGAUUAACACAUCGACUACUUUUGCACCGAAUUGGGUUCAAGGUGUUUUCUUUAUACGGAGACUUCUUUUUGAAUUAAAGCACCUAAGUCAGACAU